UGCAAGCUUUAUGUGCAUGCUCCGCCUCUUGUUCUCUGUUUCUUGGUGACUUUCUGUAGUAGAAACAGCGCCACCUAUAGGCCUAUAUUGGUUAUUCACCAGGGUUU